GGAGACGUGCACACGCACAGAGCUCAUGCCCAGUAUGUGCAUUGCCUGCCCUGUCCCACUCCUCCUGGUGUCCCAGCGAGCCCUGACCCUGACCCCAACUCCAUCUGCUUCCAUGUGAGCACGAAGACAGCUCAGGGUAUGUGGGUCAGUGGCGUGCAAUACAUUCAUAUUGCGGGGCAAGCCACCACCUCCCAGCUCCCGAACUAAGCUUGCAAAACGGAAACUCUGGAAAAUUCUGACACCGUAGAACAUGGAUGAAUCUUGAAGACUGGAAGUCUUCCACAGGACAAAUACCGGAUGACUCCACUUACAUGAGGUUUUUUUUAUUUACUUAUUCACGAGAGACACACAGGGAGAGGCAGAGACACAGGCAGAGGGAGAAGCAGGCUCCUGCAAGGAGCCCGAUGUGAGACUCGAUCCGGGGAAUCCGGGAUCAGGCCCUGAUCCAAAGGCAGACGCUCAACCGCUGGGCCCCCUAGGCGUCCCGAAAAAUCGCAUCCUUGAAAAUCUGAGUAUGUUGGGGUGUCAUCAGAGAAGCCCGGGUCCCUGGACGCUCUCCUCCUCAUAGCACCCCCUCUGGGACUGCAGGACAUCAACUGAGCAGAGCCCUCUCCCCGCAUCCUGUG